AAAUUGAAGAGUUUGAUCAUGGCUCAGAUUGAACGCUGGCGGCAGGCCUAACACAUGCAAGUCGAACGGUAACAGGAAGCAGCUUGCUGCUUCGCUGACGAGUGGCGGACGGGUGAGUAAUGUCUGGGAAACUGCCUGAUGGAGGGGGAUAACUACUGGAAACGGUGGCUAAUACCGCAUAACGUCGCAAGACCAAAGAGGGGGACCUUCGGGCCUCUUGCCAUCAGAUGUGCCCAGAUGGGAUUAGCUAGUUGGUGAGGUAACGGCUCACCAAGGCGACGAUCCCUAGCUGGUCUGAGAGGAUGACCGCCCACACUGGAACUGAGACACGGUCCAGACUCCUACGGGAGGCAGCAGUGGGGAAUAUUGCACAAUGGGCGCAAGCCUGAUGCAGCCAUGCCGCGUGUAUGAAGAAGGCCUUCGGGUUGUAAAGUACUUUCAGCGGGGAGGAAGGUGUUGUGGUUAAUAACCACAGCAAUUGACGUUACCCGCAGAAGAAGCACCGGCUAACUCCGUGCCAGCAGCCGCGGUAAUACGGAGGGUGCAAGCGUUAAUCGGAAUUACUGGGCGUAAAGCGCACGCAGGCGGUCUGUCAAGUCGGAUGUGAAAUCCCCGGGCUCAACCUGGGAACUGCAUUCGAAACUGGCAGGCUUGAGUCUUGUAGAGGGGGUAGAAUUCCAGGUGUAGCGGUGAAAUGCGUAGAGAUCUGGAGGAAUACCGGUGGCGAAGGCGGCCCCCUGGACAAAGACUGACGCUCAGGUGCGAAAGCGUGGGGAGCAAACAGGAUUAGAUACCCUGGUAGUCCACGCCGUAAACGAUGUCUACUUGGAGGUUGUGCCCUUGAGGCGUGGCUUCCGGAGCUAACGCGUUAAGUAGACCGCCUGGGGAGUACGGCCGCAAGGUUAAAACUCAAAUGAAUUGACGGGGGCCCGCACAAGCGGUGGAGCAUGUGGUUUAAUUCGAUGCAACGCGAAGAACCUUACCUGGUCUUGACAUCCACGGAAGUUUUCAGAGAUGAGAAUGUGCCUUCGGGAACCGUGAGACAGGUGCUGCAUGGCUGUCGUCAGCUCGUGUUGUGAAAUGUUGGGUUAAGUCCCGCAACGAGCGCAACCCUUAUCCUUUGUUGCCAGCGGUUAGGCCGGGAACUCAAAGGAGACUGCCAGUGAUAAACUGGAGGAAGGUGGGGAUGACGUCAAGUCAUCAUGGCCCUUACGACCAGGGCUACACACGUGCUACAAUGGCGCAUACAAAGAGAAGCGACCUCGAGAGCAAGCGGACCUCAUAAAGUGCGUCGUAGUCCGGAUUGGAGUCUGCAACUCGACUCCAUGAAGUCGGAAUCGCUAGUAAUCGUGGAUCAGAAUGCCACGGUGAAUACGUUCCCGGGCCUUGUACACACCGCCCGUCACACCAUGGGAGUGGGUUGCAAAAGAAGUAGGUAGCUUAACCUUCGGGAGGGCGCUUACCACUUUGUGAUUCAUGACUGGGGUGAAGUCGUAACAAGGUAACCGUAGGGGAACCUGCGGUUGGAUCACCUCCUUA
rnacentral:rRNA from 1 species